rnacentral:tRNA from 1 species
GCUCAGAUGGCGGAAUUGGUAUACGUGCUAGCUUCAGGUGCUAGUGAGGCUUUGCCUCAUGAGGGUUCGAGUCCCUUUCUGAGCACCA